CCUUCGGGAACACGCGCAAGGGCGGGGAUUCGCGCUGCCAAUGAGGCCCGGGUGUGGGCCGCGCGAGGCGGGGGGACGGGCCAGAACGCAGCCUUCGCGGUGGCAGCUGCGGGAGCAUUGGCCGCGUCGGGAGCCGGAGGAGAGGCAACCGCGGACCGCCGAGCUGGCCGCGCCCCGAGGCCCGGCCCUGGGGUAGGGAACCGCGCCGAGGAGCUGGAAACUUUCCCGGCAGUUCUCUUUCUAGCUUUCUGUGGUUGACUUGUCCCGAGGAACUUUCUGGGUGCACCCCGAGUGAGCCAGCUUCUUUCUGUUGCAAACAAGUGGAGUCUAGGGUGAGGCAAGAAGCAAAAGAGUGUUGAAAAUGUUAAAGGCUGUGCUGAAAAAGAGCCGAGAGGGAGGAAAGGGGAGCAGGAAGGAGACAGGAGGUGACUUUGGUCCAGAGACUUCUCCCCCAGUCCUGCCCCCUGGCCAUGGUGGUGACUUGUCUGUGAGCAGCGUUCCUGUGGCAGAAGACACCUACAGGGUGAGCUUGGCCAAAGGUGUCUCAAUGUCUCUGCCUUCAUCACCUCUGCUGCCUCGACAGUCUCAUUCGGUGCAAUCAAGAUCAAAUAAAAAAUCCCCAGGUAAGUAAGCAACAAAACAGCACCCUAACUGUCUUCGUUAUAUAUGUAAGGCAUGUAUUGAGAUUAAGCAAAACUAGUGCUUGUAAGAAAUUUCCUGGGAGGUUUUUUCUUUGUUACAGUAACUUCUGGAAGAAGAAAAUCUCUAAAAAACAAAGUUUUGAUUUGAAUUUAGACGAAUUUCUUUAGUUCAGCCUAUAUACAAACUAUUUUGAUUGCUUAGGUUAGACUUUUACCAAGAUUCAGGAUCUUGUUAUCAGUAUCAAUGUUAGUCAUUGGUCUUGUUUUCUUGGUGGUGAAUUAGGAAAUGCUAUAAUCUAAACUCAUUGUAGCGCAUUUAAAGAUUUUGGAUUUUGGCAAGUGUAAUCUGACAGCAGUUCAUUUAUUACUGCCAAGUGUUAUAUACUGAUAUACUUUCCUUGAUUACAUCACUCAGCAUUUGAGUAGAUAUACAAUUUGUGAAAAUUCAGAUUUGUAAAGGGUGGGAACAAGGGUCUCAUGGAUUACUUGUUUAAAGUAUUUUGGCUUCUUUCAUCAUUACCAACUUUUUGCACUUAACAUUACCAAUGAAAACACAAACGUUAGUUAACUUUGAGAGGUUACGAAUCAGACGUGAGGAAAGCCUUUCCAGAAUGCUGAUACCUGCAAUCAUGAAAGUUCUUUGAUCUUCUUUUAUGUUUGCUGAGCAUUUGUUUUCUGCGGGUAGGAUAGUUUGGGGUCUUUAUUGAUCAAUCAUAUGCCAGUGAAAGGAUUCUUCUCAUUUAUCCAUGAAUGUGUUUGGGAUUGGUCUACAUUGUGUCCUGGGCCUAUAAAAUUGGUAUCUGUUUUUCUGGUUUCCUAAAUGUUUGUAUUAUUUGAGAUGUGAUAGGCGUGAUUUCUGAAUCAUUUAGUGGAUAUUUGCAGUUUGUGUGGUGACAAAAUUAAGAGGACAAACCUUGACGCUUUGAAUGUUAGAAAUGAUGCUAUGAAUUGGUAAGUGUCCAAAAUCUUUUAUUGUCCUAGAGCUUUCUUAUUUUGGACAACAUUGUUUACAAUCCAGUCAUUAGCUGGAACUUGGAAACCUUUUUGGUAUGAAGCAAUUUCCUGUGCCAAGGAAUUUGACCUGUUUAUCAGUAUUUGGGGAAAUUCCUGGAAUGUCCUUCUUUCUCUUUGCCUUUCCCUACGACUGUAUCUCUGUCAGAUUUCUCUUCUUCUUUCAAAUCCUGGUUCCCACACUGCCUUUCUUGCUGGUUACCCCAUUGGAAUGACUCUGCAAAUUGUACGUAGCGUUAUACUUUUUUCUGUAUCAGCCACGUCAUUUGCCCUUUUUCCUUGAAUCAGUGUGUUCAUGUGCAUCCUGUGUCUGGUGGGCAUGGACAGGCACGAUGUCUUCUUUAAGUAUACCUCAUCUAUAAAAAACAGAUAAUAGAAUUCUGAACCUAUCUGGAUUCCUAAGGGAAUAGUACUUGCAAGUGCCAAGUGCAGAGAUACGACCUUUAGGAGAAUUUGCCCUCCUAUAUAGCCUGUGCUGCUGCAAAGGAAUUGAUGCUUCUUGGGCCUUAGGCCUGGUGAAUGCCUAAGAGAGUAGGGAAUAUGCAUUUCAGAUAGGAUUUUAUUAUUAACAAAUUAAAGGUUUGUUUUAGUGGAACUUCAAUCUUCUUUUUAAUUUUUCUUAAUUUGAUUUCUUUCCAGUUCUAUGAAGAUACACUUGACCCAUAACACUGUGUGUGUUUCAUGUGUAUAACAUAGUGAUUUUGAAUAUGCAUGUGUAUAUUACAAAAUGAUUACAUUAAGGUUAAUUAACACAUCUAUCACCUCAUAUAGUUAUAAUUUGUUUAUUUUAUGAGGUUUUAGUGGGAUGUUAGGUAGCAAUGAAUGGCAUGGCAAGCAUGGGAAGUAUGGCUAUCCAGAAGUGUCUCAGAGUCUAUAGGCUCACUGGCCAGAAAUCGCUGACGAGGCCUGGUCUCCUGCGUCCUGACCAAAUUUGAUAUCCUUAGUGUUGAGAAAAUAUCCUAUAGUUUGUUUCUUCUCCAUGGGAAUAAAAUUUAUUUCUGCUAAACUCUUCGCAAGGCCUUAUGAAUAGAAGAGAGUAGUUUUGCAACAUUCAACUUUUUAAUGGAUUGAAGAAAAUACUCUCCAUUUAGAUGCUUUGGGUCCAAAUUUAAUACACUAAGCAGAUUCUCCUCUAACGGAGCCAUGCUUGUGCGUUGCCUAAAUUUGUGCAGCAAAUUAGUGUCUCACAGUGGUAAUUUGGCUUCAUUAUCUUGGCAAUUUUAAUUCAAAAGGGAAGCUAAGGGCAGAGAUGCUUGCUUAAAAAUGGCGUGACUCAGAGUACAUCAGACAAUAAACAAUGUUUUUCUACAGUGUCUAACACAGGCAGGUUUCUGUUCAAGCCAUAUUGUUAGAAAAGUACCCAGAGACCUACUGUUCUACCUGCCUGUAAAAUAAGUUGAC